rnacentral:tRNA from 1 species
UCUAAUAUGGCAGAUAAUAUGCAAUGAAUUUAAGCUUCAUUUAUAAAGAUUAAUUCUUUUAUUAGAA